GUAGGCUGAAACUCGCCUACAUGAAGCUGGAGUUACUAGUAAUCGCAGAUCAGAAUGCUGCGGUGAAUGCGUUCCCGGGUCUUGUACACACCGCCCGUCACACCACGGAAGUUGGGGCGCCCGAAGCCACUUAGCUAACCCUUUUGGGAAGCGAGUGUCGAAGGUGAAAUCAAUAACUGGGGUGAAGUCGUAACAAGGUAUC
rnacentral:rRNA from 1 species